GCCUAGUGUAGCUACAAUAGCCUCACGCCCAAAUUUUACAUAUGACCACAAACAGCCUCACAGCCUCACACCCUCACCAGACCUCAUCCCUACUAAUUCUUUCAUUCUCUUCACGCACGCAUUCAUUCUAUAUUCAGUCCCAAUCUCAGCAUCUCUCUUUCUCCUCAUUGCCUUGCUCAUCGUCUUCCUCAUUGUCGUUUGUCGUCGUCUAUCGUGUCUCUUUGCAAUUGGAACAAAUCCUCUUCGCGACAGAUCUUCGGCUUCCUUCUCUUUGCAUGUUGACCUGUUAGAUUUAAAACAAAAAGAAAUUGUUCAAAUUUUUUU
rnacentral:misc_RNA from 1 species